rnacentral:tRNA from 3 species
GGGCGGAUAGCUCAGCGGUAGAGCGCCUGCCUUACAAGCAGGUGGUCGUAGGUUCGAUCCCUGCUCCGCCCACCA